AUUGAACGCUGGCGGCAGGCCUAACACAUGCAAGUCGAGCGGAUGAAGGGAGCUUGCUCCUGGAUUCAGCGGCGGACGGGUGUGUAAUGCCUAGGAAUCUGCCUGGUAGUGGGGGAUAACGUCUGGAAACGGGCGCUAAUACCGCAUACGUCCUGAGGGAGAAAGUGGGGGAUCUUCGGAACUCACGCUAUCAGAUGAGCCUAGGUCGGAGUAGUCAGUUGGUGGGGUAAAUGCCUACCAAGGCGACGUUCCGUAACUGGUCUGAGAGGAUGAUCAGUCACCCCGAGACGGAGACCCGCUCCAGACGCCUACAGGAGGCAGCAAUGGUGAAUAUUGGACAAUGGGCGGAAACCUGAUCCAGCCGUGCCGCGUGUGUGAAGAAGGACGUCGGAUGUGAAAGCACUUUAAGUUGGGAGGAAGGGCAGUAAGUUAAUACCUUGCUGUUUUGACGUUACCAACAGAAUAAGCACCGGCUAACUUCGUG
rnacentral:rRNA from 1 species